AGAGAGGGGAAAGUACCUCUAGGAGAGAAGGCCGCAGCUGGGAGCUGGCUGGCCUGGGAGGGUGCAGACACCCUUCCUGGGGAAACACUGCAUCUUUAUCAAGGAAAACUCCCCCAUGGGCCUGUUUGGUCAGGCAGUGCCUCUGGGCAGGACCGGGAGGAGUUCAGACAGCUAAGAGUCAAAUGGCCCUACCCAUAAUGGGAAUUUAGAGCUGCUCAUGGGCACUGUGGAAGAGGAGAAAGACCCAGAGGGAGACCCACUGCAGCCAAGGAGGCUACGUAGAGGCAGUGGAUGAGAAAACGGAAGAUGAGAGAGAUCGAAUGACUUGUUCAAGGACACACAGUCGGGAAGUAGCAUCUCCCAGCCUGCGCCGGGACAGCUGCUGUCAGCAUCACUGAGGGAAAUGCCACCUCGGCCCUGACAGCUGCCACUUGGCACACUUUGUAGAGAGCUUCUCCGGGAAGGAAAAAACCAGCCAGUCAUGCAGAUGCUAUUUAAAAUGAGGAAACUGAGGCCAAGACAGGGGCAGGGGCUGGCCCAAGAUCACAGAGCAAGUCAGAAUUGCAGAAUAUGAGAGCAGGACAUCAUGAUCAAAAUCUUCAAAUCUAACACCCAUAUUGUACCAAUGGAGAAACUUCGGCCCAGAAAGGAGAAGCAAUUUGCCCACGUCCAUGCAGAAAAUCAGUGGCAGAGCUGGGAUCUGAGCCCAGAUCCAGGAGCACCAUGUGCCUGCCCUAUACAGCUGCUCUGGGGGCUUCCCCCAUGCUGGAAUUGGUUUCUACUCCACCAGGAAGUAUGGUUCGAGUGAGCAUGACACGGAAUGGAAUCAUCAGUGUCUGAUGGAGCCCAGGACAUCUUGGCUGCCCCUUCCAGCCUAGGGGAGAAGGGAGGGAAGACACAGUAAGGACAGACCCAGGAACCUCCCAGUCACUGUGCCAGCCUCUACACAUGCGUCCCUCCCGCAGGCUCGGUGUCAUCGGCUGAGUGUGUGUUUUGCAUCUCGUGUCUCCUUUAGUCUAACAGCAGCGUGGGAAGGCAAAGAGGAGCCUCAUCCCCAUCUUCCAGAUGAGGUAACUGAGGGCUUCCAGGGUCUUUCUGCCCCCAGGAGGUUGAAGUGAAAAAGCAUUCAAGUCAGAAAGACCCUGAGCGCUCCUCGCUUUGCAGCCCGGGAAGGUUUCCCUCUUCCUUGAGACCGUGGGGUGGGUCUCUGAGCCCUGCUGGAGAAGGGCUUGGAGACUGCAUGGAACCUCAGACAGAAAACGUGCUGUGAUUGCUGAGCGAUGCCUUCCACGGAUGCAGGAGCGUGACGUGGCAAUGUGUGACUUUGGUCAACCUGUUUCCAGUCAUCUGCCUGACCAAGUGCGUGGCUUAGAGACGGGAGCCACUUGCUUAUGGUCCCAAAGGAGACAGUGUUCGGCAAGGGAAGACCCUGCCCGGCCCAGCUCUCUCCCCGCCUGACCCUGCAUCGUUUCUGCUUUCUUAACUCGGUGCCUCUGCCAUCGAUGGUCCUGGCUGCUAGGAAGCCAGUCAUUCAGAGGGGACUGAGGAGUUGGUCAAGAGGCAGCCCCUGGCCUUGCCUCUGCCCCCAUGGCCUCUCACUGUAAUAUUUGUGUUAUCCAGGAAACUCAAGAGCUGCACCAGGAAGAGGUAGGAAGAAAGCAGGCCUUUGGUACACCAUCUAGCUGCACUCCUCACCCACGGUCUCCGGGUGCAGACCCAACAAGGCUGCUCCCACCUCGCCCGGGGCAGCACGUGAGUUCAUACAGCAGACACCAGCAAGACCGCCAGAGCCAGCAGGAACACGGGAAACACACACAGAUGCACACACCCAUUGAGCAAAUAUUGGAAAUUCACUUUUGUACACAGAUACCUAUAUGGUCACAGAUACAUAUAGUAACAGAGAAUCCAGAGAAUAGAGUGUAACAAAUGUCCAUGCACCCACCACUCGAGUCAAUACAUGUUAACAAUUUGUUAGUUGUGUUUUAGACAUUUUUAAAUAAAAGAAACAGAUGUUGAAGAUUUUUUUUUCCUUGAGACAGAACCCCCCGCUGCUGCCCAGGCUGGAGGCUGGCGUGCCAUGGUGCAGUCUCAGCUCACUGUAACCUCUGCCUCCCAGGUUCAAGUGAUUCUCCUGCCUCAGCCUCCUGAAUAGCUGGGACUACAGGCGCACGCCACCACACCUGGCUAAUUUUUGUAUUUUUAGUAGAGAUGGGGUUUCACCAUGUUGGCCAGGCUGGUCUCGAACUCCUGACCUCAGGUGAUCCGCCCUCCUCAGCCUCCCAAAGUGCUGGAAUUACAGACGUGAGCCACCUUGCCCGGCUGAAGAUAUUUUAAUUGAAAUCCUUUUCAUCCCCCUCCGUUUCAUUUCCCUUCUCUACACAGAGGCAGAGCCAGAGGCUGGAGUGCCAUAAUGCGAUCAUGGCUCACUGCAGCCUCAAUCUCCUGGGCUCAAGAGAUCCUUCUGCCUCAGCUUCCCAAAUGCUGGGACCACAGGCACAUACCACAAUGCCUGCUAAUUUUUUAAUUUUUUGUAGAGACAGGAGUCUCGCUAUGUUGCCCAGGCUAAACUUGAACUCCUGGGCUCAAGCAAUCCUCCCACCUUCGCCAUCCAAAGUGCUGGGAUUACAGGCGUGAGCCACUGCACUCAGCCUCUAAGUUCAUUAAAACCAUAAACAAUAUAUAGUACUGCUAUUUGUAUGCUUUAAAAUUUUAAAUAAAUAGUGUCUGAUAUGGUUAGGUUUUGUGUCCUCACCCAAAUCUCGGUUUGAAGUGUAAUUCCCAUAAUCCCCACAUGUCCAGGGAAAGACCAGGUGGAGAUAAUUGAAUCGUGGGAGUGUUUCCCCCAUGUUGUUCUCAUGAUAGUGAAUGAGUGAUCAUGAGAUCCAAUGGCUUUAUAAGGGGCUCUUCCUGCAUCACUCGACACUUCUCCUUCCUGCUGCCUUGUGAAGAAGGUGCCUUGCUUCUCCUGUGCCUUCCGCCAUGACUGUAAGUUCCCUGAGGCCUCCCCCAGACAUGUGGAACUGUGAGCCAAUUAAACCUCUUUCCUUUAUAAGUUGCCCAGUCUUGAGUAUUUCCUUACAGCAAUAUGAGAACAGUCAAAUACAGUGUCAUAUUAUAACCUUUCAACUUACUUUUGUAUUUGUUUCUUAGGGAUGCUGUAACAGGUAUCACAAACCAUGUGGCUUCAAAUAACAGAAAUUUAUCCUGCCCCAGUUCUAGGAGCUAGA
rnacentral:lncRNA from 1 species